GGAGGGGUGGCCGAGAGGCUGAAGGCGCUGGUUUGCUAAACCAGUAUAGGGGAAACUCUAUCGUGGGUUCGAAUCCCAUCCCCUCCGCCA
rnacentral:tRNA from 1 species